GCCAGGCAUGGUGGCGCACACCUGUAGUCCCAGCUACUCGGGAGGCUGAGGCAGAAGAAUUGCUUGAACCCAGGAGGUGGAGACUGCAGUGAGCCAAGAUCAUGCCACUGCACUCCAGCCUGGGUGACAGAGCGAGACUCAGCCUCAA
rnacentral:SRP_RNA from 1 species